rnacentral:rRNA from 1 species
CGUGUAGGCGGUCUUCCAAGUCGGAUGUGAAAGCCCUGGGCUUAACCCAGGAAGUGCACCCGAUACUGGUCGACUAGAGUACGGGAGAGGGUAGCGGAAUUCCCGGUGUAGAGGUGAAAUUCGUAGAUAUCGGGAGGAACACCAGUGGCGAAGGCGGUUACCUGGACCGAUACUGACGCUGAGACGCGAAAGCGUGGGGAGCAAACAGGAUUAGAUACCCUGGUAGUCC